rnacentral:sRNA from 1 species
GAAAGCGCCAAUCAGCAGCAACCUACUAAUGAGCUUGAAGACGAGCUUGAUAUGUUACAAGAAGAAAAUGACAAUUUGGUUGAAAAGGUUCGACUUGCAGAAGAGAAGUUUGAGGAAGCUGAAUCAAGAGUCAGGCAACUAGAACAACAGGUUGCUAAUCUUGGCGAAGGUGUAACUAUGGAGGCUCGCCUUUUGGCCAGGAAAGAGGCAGCACUGCAGCAAAGAGAGGCCGCUCUGAAAAAUGCACCAAAGAAUCUUGGUUUUCAAGCGUCGGAUGCUGAGGACGAGGCGACGGUUGCUUUGGAAAAGCUACGGCUUAUGACUCAACGAAUGAUACUCAACGCGGAAG